GAGUAAGCCAUUCUUUUUUUUUUUUUUAAUUUGCACAGAGACAGAUGCAAAAUCUAUGUAAAUAGAUGCAUAUAAUAAGGCAAAUUAUGUAAGGCACUGGGAGUAUUCAACCAAUGGCCCUCAGUGGAACUGUGUUUCAUGUAGUCAGGAAGUUAGAAGUUUGAUCUUUCCAAUUAGCUUUUAACAUUAAACAGAUUGGCCAUUGAAAUAUUUUAUUAAACAUGCAAGAAAGUAAAUUAAAUUUAUUUAUAUAUGAAUACAAUCAAACAAGAAGUUUUUAAACUUCUGCAUUAUGUUGCAAAAUGUGUUUUCUGCUUCCAGAGCUCUGCUCUAUGUAAGCUAUUGCAGCUUUUCCCAACAAAGCUGGGUAUUGGAAGUGUGGUGAAAGUGAGAAAUUAACUGAAAUUUUCUGGGAUUGAUGAAACGAGAGUUUAUGUAUGAAUGUUUUUGUGGAUCACUGCUUUUUAAAAUGAGAAAAAUAAACCCAAAAGAGAUAGCAAUAUAUUAAAAAGUACCUUUCAAAAAUAGGUUUAAUUAUUCCUAUUCAUUUGUAAUUACAUUUACUCAGAAUUGAGUGAUUAUGAGCACAUAUUUAAAUGAAGUGAUUCUAAUUGGAGCUAUGAAUUUACAAUAUUAUUACCAAAUAAUGCUAUGUUGAAAGGAAAAAUGUUUUAAAUUACACAUAAUAAAUAUACAUCAGUCCUUUGAAUAUGUUGAGGUGUAUGAGCUUUCUCAGGUUUCCUGUAAGAAUCUCUUAGCAGAUCAGUAAGUGAUUAUAAUUCCUCUUUGUCUUCAAAAAGGCUUUGGAUCACUGCCGAAAUGUUCUUAAUACCUAAUAUUCAGUAAGAACUAUAAAUCUUAGUUUACAUAGCACUCUUUUAAUUAUGGAAAUAAGUUUAUAAGAGUUAAUAUCACAGUAGAUAAAAACCUUGAAAAUAAUUAAUUUUCAGCCGUAAACAUGUCUGAAUUCACAUUAGCUUUUAUACUUAGUUCUGAUCAAUUAUCAGUAACUUUACAUUUUGAGUUUCUUAAACUAUUAAUGGAAAAUUAAAAUAAUGUACAAGGAUAGAGAAUCUAGUACAAUUCAUGUCUAGGCACUCAUUACCAGGUUUCAACACCCUUUAAGUGAUGUCUUGUUUUGUUUCAUUUAUAUCCCCAAUUUAUUCUCUACCAAGACUAUACCUGAAGACUUUGAAGCUAAUAGCAAAUAUCAUAUUACUUAAUCUAUUCAUGUUCCCAUGUUCUAUAAUAGAUUUUAAUAGCUUGAAUUAUAACAUAAAAUAAAGCUUAUUUAUUGUAAUCUGUUACUAAGUCUAAAUUCUCUCGCUUAAUCCAGCAAUUUAAUCUUCAUCUCUCCUUUUUGUCUUUGUAUUUAUUUGUUGAAGAAACUGAGUCUUGUUCUCUAUAGAAUUUCUCGCAGUCUGAAUUUUGCUGAUUGCACUUCUGUUUCCUAACAUAUUUUAUGCUUAUUUUUUGUAAAUUGUUGGUAAUACUGCAAUGCACUAUCUAAUUUAACUUUAAAUAUUUUUGCAAGAAUACUUCACAGGUGAAAUUGUGUACUUUCAUGAUGAGGAAAAUCACAUCCAUUGUCUCUUUUUAUUUUGGUAAUUUAAUUAUUAUGAGAUUAAUUGAUUUAUUAGCAGUUUGAAAUUGAUGAUAUUAAAAUCUUGUUAUUGUUUUCUGAUUUAAUAGUUGGAUUUUCUAUAUUAAAAAGUUCCUCAUUAUGUACAAUUUGAUUAUCUUGUGAAAAAUGAAAGGUUAAAUACUUAAUAUUUGUCUAUAAUGGUUAGUUUUCAGAAUGAAUUGAUAUCCUAGAAUCCUCCAAAAUUGAUCAAAGUAUUUUCAUUUCUUAACAUAAUUAUAGAUUCAUUGAUUUUAAUGUAUUUGAUGUGAUUCAAUAUUUUUUGGCUGUGUUCUUACUGAUGCUUAAUUUAUCUCAUUGAUCAUUAGGAAUCACUUCAAGUUGUUGCCUGUGUCCUCUUGACAAAAUACAAGUAGUGAUAGGGUUUUUUCAUUAUAAAAUUAGAAGUCUACCAGGCUCAUCUUGAACACACCUUGCCCCAACACAUCUCUUAAUAGUAUUGGUUGCAUUGAGGAGGAAAUGGCAAUGAGAAACCUAAAUCUGGAUGCUAGGGUUGCUUGUUUCUACUGAAUUAAUCAUCAUUUAAAAUUGUAAAGGAUAGAAUUAGGAAAUAUAGUCUUUACAUUUUCAAUUAACUUUAGGUCUUAAGAGUUUUUAUGCACAUUUUCUUUGCUCCAAACAAUCACUAAUUUGUUUAGCCCAUUAACAGAAGUCUGGAGAAACCCAGGUUUGACUGCUGCUGUUAGACGGAAGAGAGAACUCCCCAGAAUCGACCUUGUGAUCAUAUUUUUGAUUUUCUAAUUUGGGGAUUUUGGUUUUGAUUUUCUAAUUUUUUCAGUGUUUUGAAAACACCAAAAGUUUAUUUUCUUUCUUGCCUUUCCUUCCACAACUUAGUGAAAUCAUAUGUGUUUUUUGCCAGCUGUGAUUUGCCCAAUAGUGCUGAUUGUGAGAAUAGUGAAAAUAUAUUUUCAUCUAGUUUUGCUAUAGAUAUUGUCUUUUAGAUUUCUGUUUUGCUAGAAUAGUCGCUCCGAUGUUUUUUAGGGAGGGAAUUUUGAAGUAUAAAACCUAUGUCUCUGCUGUUUUCUUCAUCCCUAAACUUUAUGUUUGUUUGUUUUGUUUUGUUUUUUAUGUUACCCAGGCUGGUCUUGAACUCCUGGCCUCAGCAACCCCUCCUCAACCUCCCAAGUAGCUGGGAUUAUAAGCAUGAGCCAUCACAAUUGGCUUACUCUUAGAUAUUCUUAAGGAACAUCUAGAAAAGUGAAAUUAUGAGGGCUUAAACUAGAUCAUGUCUCCUAUUUUUCUUACAAUUUCGUGAUCAAUAGGAAUUAAGUGAUGAAUACAAAUGAGAAAAUGAUUAAAAUACUUCUGUAUACUGCACGCAAUAUCAAUUAGCUGAGAGUAAAAACAGAUUUCAAGUUCUUAUUAAGAUAAAGCAAUCAUACUUCACCCUGCCUCUAUGCAUAAAUGUAUCUAAAGAUCCUCAAAGAAAGAGUGGAGCCACUAUCUGAAAAUUCUUAAUACCAAAUUGGAGUAGGUAGAUUAGGGUAGAAAACAAAUACUUAAACAAUAAAUAACCCCAUGAGUUUCAUAGGAAUUUUCCCUCUCUGUUAUCUUCUGGUCUAGACACAAUGGCAGAGCAAAUCCUAAAACUGCAUAUUGAGCACUGACAGAAGCACUUCAAAAUACUUUCUGGCUUGAAGUGUGGGAUGAGGAGCCACUUUGAGACACAGAGGGUGGAAAGAAACCCUUUAUUUUUAAUCUUUAUGUUAUGUGCAUGAACCUCAUUUCUUCUUUUCUUAUUUUAUCAUAAAUGCAUAUUUAACAUUUUCAAAGCUUUUUCAGAGAUUAUGCUGAAAAUAAUAAUUUAUGUCUUUUUUAUCCUUCAAGUUAUUAAUGUGUUACAACAUUUUACUAGAUUUCUCAAAACUCAAAUAAUCAUACAUCCUUGAAAUAAAUCACAGUUGUUCACAGUUCAUAGUAUUUUCUUAAUGUGGUGCUGGAUUCAGUUUACUAAUAUUAAGUAUUUUUGCAUAGAUAUUAAUAAUGAUAUUCUGCAGUUUUAAUGUUACUAUGUUUAUCAGGAUUAGAUAUUGAUGUUAUACUUGCUUAAGAAAAAUAAGUACAGAAUGUUUUCUUCUUUGUUAAUGUUCUAUGACAACUUAUGAUACAGUAAAACUACCUGGAAAUUGAACAUAUGGUAGGAGUUUUCUUAAAAACUUUAUAAGCCUGGUGGGUGUUUUUUGGAGGGGAGGGUGUAGCUUUUUAAUAGCUCUCUGUAUUCUUCUAUGUAAAGUUGUUUGUUUAGUCUUUCACAAUCUCAAAUUCUGUUACCUUCUUUAGCUUUCCUUUUUUAUAAUCCUUUUCCUUUGGUGGUGAUAGGGAGUAGGGAAUGCAUAUUGGUAGAUGGCAUGCCCAUUCUUUUUAUUUUGCUCAAACUAACAAAUCUCUGAGGUAUGAAUAAAUAACAUUUUGGUUCUUAUGGUAACUGAAAAAUUAUUGUCCACCCUCGUCACAGUUGAAUGAAUGAGCAUUUCUUUUUCAAUUCACUCUUGUUUUUCUACUGAGUCAGACUGGAGUGUGUGAUGGGAGAUGUAAAUAGCUGCGGUGGCAUAUGGUCAUUUUAAAAAAAUAUUUGCUGGUUAAUGUUUUGUAAGAUUACUUUUUCUUAUCUUGUUAUAAGAGUAUAAUAUAUCUUCUUAUAAUAUAUCUUCUAAUUCCAACGUGGUCCAGGAGCCUCUUUCCCUGCCAUGGAUCAUCAGGCACAUGGGUUCUUCCCUUAUUUGUCCAUUGCACUUCUGGGUAGAUUUGUCCUCCUAGGAGCUACUCAUCUACUCUCCAGCGUGACUUCUGGGUUCUGCAGGACAUGACAUUUAUCCCCUCCAGAAAAUGCAACAAGGUGCAUCUUGGAAGCAGAGUGCAGCACUCACCGGACAGGAAAUCUGCUGAUGCCUUCAUCUUGGACUUCCCAGUCUCCAGAACUAUAAAGAAUGCAUUUCUUUUCUUAUAAAUUACCCAGUCUAUGAUAUUCCAUUAUAGUAGCACAAACGGACUAGGACAACACAUAAAUAACUCAAGCCAAUUUCUCACUUACAUUUGUUAAAAUAGUAAUGUACAAAUCCCGGAAACAGUCAACAACAAAAUCCCAUUUCACAACUCCCUCAUCCCUAAUACACAAUUUCUAACCUAUUCUGAAAUUGAGAAGUCUUAUACUUUGCAAAUGGCAUGGCAACUUUAUGUCCAUUUAAAAUUGUCUAAAUAUUUAGUACAUUUCUAGAGUCUAGAGCACACAGCUCAGGGCCCUGGUAACAUGCAGGCAAUCAGACUAUAAAUUUAUUUCUCUUCUUGAACAUCCUGCCCUGUUCAUCUUCAGUAAUCAAAUGGGCUUCAAUUUGUUCUUUACUAUGCUUUCACCUCUUCAUGCUCACUUCCAAGUCAACUCUACUCCUUCUCUAUUUUGCCCAAUACACUUUCUAGUUACAUAAUCAGAUGACUCUAGAAAAGCUGCCCAAGGCUGACCAUUCUCUAUGUGAAUUUUCCAACUACAUUGAAAGACCAAACUCAGUAUCCCCAACAUUGUCCUAACUUAAAGGUAUACUUGUAGUGGCACCAUAUAAACCAGGCAAACUAUUUAAAAAUGUAUCUGGAAGUAUUUGGCAUUUCCUGGUUAUAAUUUAAAGGAUGUAAUUUUGGCAUAGGAUUUCUGAAUAAUUGUUAUUAGACAGAGUUAUUUGUAUUUUCCACUACCAUUUUUAGAAAGGGAAUUUCACUUUGGAUAGCGGGUUAGUGUGUGUGUGUGUAUGUGCCCAUGUGCAGGUGAGGAGGGAACAAACUACUUGAUUCUUCCAUAAGUUAUUAAGUGACCCUUUUUUGGGCCUGAUUGUCAAAUGAAAUUUUCUGCACAAUACUUGGAAAGCAUUUGCAGGUUUCUGCGUGAGGUGAAGAAAAAAGAACAUGAAAAUAUUGUGGAUUCAUGAGCUACAAGAAGAAUCAUGAAACUUUUGAAAAGUUAUCAGCCUCAUAGCUUGAGUGUGAAUGAAUUAGUUUUCACAGAAAUCAAUGAAUGGGCUGGAUUUUACAGCCAAGACAUAAUGGAGACAAAAAAGAGCAGGCAGUGAUUUACAGAAAUUUUGAAUCCUUCUUCUGGAGUGCUAUACAUUCAUAAGAUUAUGAUUUGGAUUAAGUUUAAUCUGAUACCUAAAUGUCCAAGCGCAUAGUUUACAUUUGAUUUAUACAGUAGUACAGUAAUGUUAACAAAACUGAAUUUUUGUAACAAAUUAUAUAUACUUGAGAUAGAGAAAAAACUGUUGACUCCUUUUAUCAUUAAGUUAAAAAAAUAAUAUGGCAGCAUAUCACUUGUAUGAACUUCUGAAUGAAGACAAUAUCUUGAUGUACAAAUUCUGUUUUUCAACCAAAGGAUCAUACUUAAGCAUAUUUAAAUAUGAUGCUCAGUAAAAAGAUCUUACAACAUUAUAAUUUGUAAUGUUUGAAAUGGACAUGAAAGUAGAAUGCAACAUUUGUAUCUACAUGAGUAACUAUCAUUUAUCUAUCUAAAAUUUAUUAAACAUUUGCGAAUGAGAGCAUGACAUUGGAGUCACACUGCUUUGGGUUUGAAAUCUGGAUCCCAUAUGUGUCAGGUAAAAACCUUGAAAAAGUUACUUAACCUGUCUGUUUAUCAGUUUCUUUAUAAGACACAGAUCAUAAUAAUAUGUACAUCAGAGGAUCAUGGUGAUUAUAAAAUAAAUUAACAUAAAUGAGUUAAUAAGGCCUAGGAUUUUAGAAGUGUAGUAUAAACAAAGUACCUAGUAUGCUACUUACAGUGAUUAUCAUUAUCUCUUAUAACUUUAAGUUAAAUUGGCCUUCUUGGUAAAUUUCAAACACAAUUAUAUCUGGGUCCACAUCAGGAAAUUUGAACAUACAGUUCAUCUGUUUGGAGCUCACUUCCCUCAUUUGUUUUCAUAGCUUCCUACCUCAGUGCAUUCAGGUUUCUUUUUCAAAACAUAUAAACAGAGAUGCCUUGUUAAACUACCCAAUCUAAAAUUGUCUUUUUUUAUUUAUUAUUUUUCUUCAUCUAUGUCACCAUUUGCUAUUGUUACUAAAUUUAUUUCUAGUUUACCGCCCACUAACAUAGAAGUUCCAUGAAAAGAGAGACGUGCCUAGUUGCCCCCAUUAUCUCAGUGUAAACAUUUUUUUUCCCUGAAACUGAAACAAUAAUCUUCCUUUUGUGGAGAUGCUGUUAAAGGGUACAUAGGGUAAUUCAUACUAAUAGGUUCUCUCAUUCUUGCAAACUGUUGUGGAAUAAUCAAUUUAAGGGCAACAACUGAGCUCUUCAUAAAUUGAGGAAAAUUGCCAUGCAUGAAGGUGUUUUUCCUAACCCCCACCUCUGAUUCUACAUAUUCUUUAAACAUAUCUCUCAAAAAUUUGGAGUUAACAUUGUAAAUAAUAUUUAUGUAUUUCUUUGGGUUUUGAAAUUUACUUAUGGAUCAUGUAGACCACUUAAAAAUAUUUUUAAAAAUCUUUAAAGCUAAAGUUGAACAUUUGUGACAACUAGGAAUAUUUGGAUACUUUGUGUUUCUCUCCCUCUUUUUAUGUCUCUCUAUCUCUCUCUGAUAAAAGUAUGUUUGUGGAUAAUUUAUUUUAAAACUAGACUUUUGGUUAUGCCAGAUUAAUAGUUCCAGAGAUCUCUUAUAAAGCACAUUUCUUGUAGUUAACAAUAUGGUGUUGUGCACUUCAAAAUUUGUUAAAUAAUAGAUUUCAUGUUAAGUAUUCUAAAAACACACACACAUACACACUCGGACACAAGGCAACUUUGGUUGAUAUUGAACACAUCCAUUACCUUGAUUGUGGUGAUGAUGGUAUUACGGGUGUUUGCAUAUGUCCAAACUCAUUAAAUUGUACACAUUGAACAUGUGAAGUUCUUUGCAUAUCAACUAUAUCUCAAUAAAGCUGUUAAAAUUAAA